GAUGAACGCUGGCGGCGUGCCUAAUACAUGCAAGUCGAGCGAACAGACGAGGAGCUUGCUCCUCUGACGUUAGCGGCGGACGGGUGAGUAACACGUGGAUAACCUACCUAUAAGACUGGGAUAACUUCGGGAAACCGGAGCUAAUACCGGAUAAUAUAUUGAACCGCAUGGUUCAAUAGUGAAAGACGGUUUUGCUGUCACUUAUAGAUGGAUCCGCGCCGCAUUAGCUAGUUGGUAAGGUAACGGCUUACCAAGGCAACGAUGCGUAGCCGACCUGAGAGGGUGAUCGGCCACACUGGAACUGAGACACGGUCCAGACUCCUAAGGGAGGCAGCAGUAGGGAAUCUUCCGCAAUGGGCGAAAGCCUGACGGAGCAACGCAGCGUGAGUGAUGAAGGUCUUCGGAUCGUAAAACUCUGUUAUUAGGGAAGAACAAAUGUGUAAGUAACUAUGCACGUCUUGACGGUACCUAAUCAGAAAGCCACGGCUAACUACGUG
rnacentral:rRNA from 1 species